GGUUAGGGUUAGGUUUGGGGAAAAUAAUCCCGUCUCCCCUAAAUUGCCCUACUUGGGUCGGCGGGGAGCGGGGAAUGCACGGGCCUACGCCCCGCCGGACACGCUCCCCGGGUCCCGAAAGGCUGGCGGCUACUUCCGCCAGCUGAACCAUAUUUGGUCUGAUGUGUAUUAAUUUGUAAUUAAGUUCAUGUAGUCCUAUUUGACUUACUCACACGUACACAAUUCAUACAUGAUCUAUAUUUGAUCUAUGUAUCCAUACAAUGUGCCUGCGUCGACGUUUCGACCCUGCUUGGGUCUUCUUCAGGACUGGGCACAUGUAACAGCAAAGGCUGCUGGGCCCCAAUUCAUAGGGGUGAACCAGCCAGCAGCCAAAAAGAAAUGAAAAGCCCUACCCACUUUUCUCCCUUUUAUAUCCCCUCAGCCAAAAAUUAGAAUAAAUUUACUUAUAUUUAAGUUAUUUUCUGCUCUAUUUAGUUUUUGAAAUCUUAACCCUUUCUGCACCGUUUGUGCUUUUAAUCCAUAUUAAUUAUGUUUAUUCACAUAUUUGUGCUUUAAUAAACAAAUUAAUAGGUAUUUUUUAAUCCCAAAAUUAGGGUUACGGUCCUGCUUGACCUUUGACCUCUAUGGCCUGCUUGGCCGUUGGUCGUUUGCCUCUAAUGGUUAGGGUUAGGGCGAGUCCCAGGUUAGGGUUAGAAUCCCAUACUAGGGUUAGGGUUAGGGUUAGAUUCCCAGGUUAGGGUUAGUGCUGGGGUUAGGGUUAGGGUCAGCGCCACGGUUAGGUUAGGGUUAGGGUUAGGGUUAGGGUUAGGGUUAGGGGUUAGGGUUAGGGUUAGGGUUAGGGUUAGGGUUAGGGGUUAGGGUUAGGGUUAGGGUUAGGGUUAGGGGUUAGGGUUAGGGUUAGGGUUAGGGUUAGGGUUAGGAUAUAGGGAUAUGUGCCACUUUUGACAUGCCGGUUAGGGUUAGGGUUAGGGUUAGGUUAGGGAAAGAAUCCCGUCUCCCCUAAAUUGCCCUACUUGGGUCGGCGGGGAGCGGGGAAUGCACGGGCCUACGCCCCGUCGGACACGCUCCCCGGGUCCCGAAAGGCUGGCGGCUACUUCCGCCAGCUGAGCCAUAUUUGGCAUGAUGUGUGUUAUACUAUAAUCAAGUUCAUGUAGUCCUAUUUGACUUACUCACACACACAUAAUUCAUACAUACAUGAUCUAUAUUUGAUCUAUGUAUCUGUACAUUGUGCCUGCUGCGUCGACGUUUCGACCUAAUUUGGUCUUCUUCAGGACUGGGCACAUGUAACAGCUCAGGCUGCUGGGCCCCAAUUCAUAGGGGUGAACCAGCCAGCAGCCGAACAAAAAUGAAAAUGAAAAGCCCUACCCACUUUUCUCCCUUUUAUAUUCCCUCAGCUAAAAAUUAGAAUGAAUUUACUUAUAUUUAAGUUAUUUUCUGCUCUAUUUAGUUUUUGCAAUCUUAACCCUUUAUGCACCUGUUUGUGCUUUAAAUCCGUAUUAAUUAUGUUUAUUCACAUAUUUGUGCUUUAAUAAACAUAUUAAUAGGUAUAUGGUCCUGCUUGACCUUUGACCUCUGUGGCCUGCUUGGCCGUCGGUCAUUAAGUUGCCUCUAAUGGUUAGGGUUAGGGCGAGUCCCAGGUUAGGGUUAGAAUCCCAUACUAGGGUUAGGGUUAGGGUUCGAUUCCCAGGUUAGGGUUAGUGCUGGGGUUAGGGUUAGGGGUCAGCGCUAGGGUUAGGGUUAGGGUCAGCGCGAUGGUUAGGGUUAGGGCUAGAUGCCAGGCUGGGGUUAUCAUCAGCAGCCGCCCGGACUGCGAGUCGGCUGAUUUUUUGCAGGUCGGGACCCAGGAAACGCGGCGACAGUGGACGUGGCACUGGCUGGAUAGGUUAGGGAAAGAAUCCCGUCUCCCCUAAAUUGCCCUACUUGGGUCGGCGGGGAGCGGGGAAUGCACGGGCCUACGCCCCGUCGGACACGCUCCCCGGGUCCCGAAAGGCUGGCGGCUACUUCCGCCAGCUGAGCCAUAUUUGGCAUGAUGUGUGUUAUACUAUAAUCAAGUUCAUGUAGUCCUAUUUGACUUACUCACACACACAUAAUUCAUACAUACAUGAUCUAUAUUUGAUCUAUGUAUCUGUACAUUGUGCCUGCUGCGUCGACGUUUCGACCUAAUUUGGUCUUCUUCAGGACUGGGCACAUGUAACAGCUCAGGCUGCUGGGCCCCAAUUCAUAGGGGUGAACCAGCCAGCAGCCGAACAAAAAUGAAAAUGAAAAGCCCUACCCACUUUUCUCCCUUUUAUAUUCCCUCAGCUAAAAAUUAGAAUGAAUUUACUUAUAUUUAAGUUAUUUUCUGCUCUAUUUAGUUUUUGCAAUCUUAACCCUUUAUGCACCUGUUUGUGCUUUAAAUCCGUAUUAAUUAUGUUUAUUCACAUAUUUGUGCUUUAAUAAACAUAUUAAUAGGUAUAUGGUCCUGCUUGACCUUUGACCUCUGUGGCCUGCUUGGCCGUCGGUCAUUAAGUUGCCUCUAAUGGUUAGGGUUAGGGCGAGUCCCAGGUUAGGGUUAGAAUCCCAUACUAGGGUUAGGGUUAGGGUUCGAUUCCCAGGUUAGGGUUAGUGCUGGGGUUAGGGUUAGGGGUCAGCGCUAGGGUUAGGGUUAGGGUCAGCGCGAUGGUUAGGGUUAGGGCUAGAUGCCAGGCUGGGGUUAUCAUCAGCAGCCGCCCGGACUGCGAGUCGGCUGAUUUUUUGCAGGUCGGGACCCAGGAAACGCGGCGACAGUGGACGUGGCACUGGCUGGAUAGGUUAGGGAAAGAAUCCCGUCUCCCCUAAAUUGCCCUACUUGGGUCGGCGGGGAGCGGGGAAUGCACGGGCCUACGCCCCGUCGGACACGCUCCCCGGGUCCCGAAAGGCUGGCGGCUACUUCCGCCAGCUGAGCCAUAUUUGGCAUGAUGUGUGUUAUACUAUAAUCAAGUUCAUGUAGUCCUAUUUGACUUACUCACACACACAUAAUUCAUACAUACAUGAUCUAUAUUUGAUCUAUGUAUCUGUACAUUGUGCCUGCUGCGUCGACGUUUCGACCUAAUUUGGUCUUCUUCAGGACUGGGCACAUGUAACAGCUCAGGCUGCUGGGCCCCAAUUCAUAGGGGUGAACCAGCCAGCAGCCGAACAAAAAUGAAAAUGAAAAGCCCUACCCACUUUUCUCCCUUUUAUAUUCCCUCAGCUAAAAAUUAGAAUGAAUUUACUUAUAUUUAAGUUAUUUUCUGCUCUAUUUAGUUUUUGCAAUCUUAACCCUUUAUGCACCUGUUUGUGCUUUAAAUCCGUAUUAAUUAUGUUUAUUCACAUAUUUGUGCUUUAAUAAACAUAUUAAUAGGUAUAUGGUCCUGCUUGACCUUUGACCUCUGUGGCCUGCUUGGCCGUCGGUCAUUAAGUUGCCUCUAAUGGUUAGGGUUAGGGCGAGUCCCAGGUUAGGGUUAGAAUCCCAUACUAGGGUUAGGGUUAGGGUUCGAUUCCCAGGUUAGGGUUAGUGCUGGGGUUAGGGUUAGGGGUCAGCGCUAGGGUUAGGGUUAGGGUCAGCGCGAUGGUUAGGGUUAGGGCUAGAUGCCAGGCUGGGGUUAUCAUCAGCAGCCGCCCGGACUGCGAGUCGGCUGAUUUUUUGCAGGUCGGGACCCAGGAAACGCGGCGACAGUGGACGUGGCACUGGCUGGAUAGGUUAGGGAAAGAAUCCCGUCUCCCCUAAAUUGCCCUACUUGGGUCGGCGGGGAGCGGGGAAUGCACGGGCCUACGCCCCGUCGGACACGCUCCCCGGGUCCCGAAAGGCUGGCGGCUACUUCCGCCAGCUGAGCCAUAUUUGGCAUGAUGUGUGUUAUACUAUAAUCAAGUUCAUGUAGUCCUAUUUGACUUACUCACACACACAUAAUUCAUACAUACAUGAUCUAUAUUUGAUCUAUGUAUCUGUACAUUGUGCCUGCUGCGUCGACGUUUCGACCUAAUUUGGUCUUCUUCAGGACUGGGCACAUGUAACAGCUCAGGCUGCUGGGCCCCAAUUCAUAGGGGUGAACCAGCCAGCAGCCGAACAAAAAUGAAAAUGAAAAGCCCUACCCACUUUUCUCCCUUUUAUAUUCCCUCAGCUAAAAAUUAGAAUGAAUUUACUUAUAUUUAAGUUAUUUUCUGCUCUAUUUAGUUUUUGCAAUCUUAACCCUUUAUGCACCUGUUUGUGCUUUAAAUCCGUAUUAAUUAUGUUUAUUCACAUAUUUGUGCUUUAAUAAACAUAUUAAUAGGUAUAUGGUCCUGCUUGACCUUUGACCUCUGUGGCCUGCUUGGCCGUCGGUCAUUAAGUUGCCUCUAAUGGUUAGGGUUAGGGCGAGUCCCAGGUUAGGGUUAGAAUCCCAUACUAGGGUUAGGGUUAGGGUUCGAUUCCCAGGUUAGGGUUAGUGCUGGGGUUAGGGUUAGGGGUCAGCGCUAGGGUUAGGGUUAGGGUCAGCGCGAUGGUUAGGGUUAGGGCUAGAUGCCAGGCUGGGGUUAUCAUCAGCAGCCGCCCGGACUGCGAGUCGGCUGAUUUUUUGCAGGUCGGGACCCAGGAAACGCGGCGACAGUGGACGUGGCACUGGCUGGAUAGGUUAGGGAAAGAAUCCCGUCUCCCCUAAAUUGCCCUACUUGGGUCGGCGGGGAGCGGGGAAUGCACGGGCCUACGCCCCGUCGGACACGCUCCCCGGGUCCCGAAAGGCUGGCGGCUACUUCCGCCAGCUGAGCCAUAUUUGGCAUGAUGUGUGUUAUACUAUAAUCAAGUUCAUGUAGUCCUAUUUGACUUACUCACACACACAUAAUUCAUACAUACAUGAUCUAUAUUUGAUCUAUGUAUCUGUACAUUGUGCCUGCUGCGUCGACGUUUCGACCUAAUUUGGUCUUCUUCAGGACUGGGCACAUGUAACAGCUCAGGCUGCUGGGCCCCAAUUCAUAGGGGUGAACCAGCCAGCAGCCGAACAAAAAUGAAAAUGAAAAGCCCUACCCACUUUUCUCCCUUUUAUAUUCCCUCAGCUAAAAAUUAGAAUGAAUUUACUUAUAUUUAAGUUAUUUUCUGCUCUAUUUAGUUUUUGCAAUCUUAACCCUUUAUGCACCUGUUUGUGCUUUAAAUCCGUAUUAAUUAUGUUUAUUCACAUAUUUGUGCUUUAAUAAACAUAUUAAUAGGUAUAUGGUCCUGCUUGACCUUUGACCUCUGUGGCCUGCUUGGCCGUCGGUCAUUAAGUUGCCUCUAAUGGUUAGGGUUAGGGCGAGUCCCAGGUUAGGGUUAGAAUCCCAUACUAGGGUUAGGGUUAGGGUUAGAUUCCCAGGUUAGGGUUAGUGCUGGGGUUAGGGUUAGGGGUCAGCGCUAGGGUUAGGGUUAGGGUCAGCGCGAUGGUUAGGGUUAGGGCUAGAUGCCAGGCUGGGGUUAUCAUCAGCAGCCGCCCGGACUGCGAGUCGGCUGAUUUUUUGCAGGUCGGGACCCAGGAAACGCGGCGACAGUGGACGUGGCACUGGCUGGAUAGGUUAGGGAAAGAAUCCCGUCUCCCCUAAAUUGCCCUACUUGGGUCGGCGGGGAGCGGGGAAUGCACGGGCCUACGCCCCGUCGGACACGCUCCCCGGGUCCCGAAAGGCUGGCGGCUACUUCCGCCAGCUGAGCCAUAUUUGGCAUGAUGUGUGUUAUACUAUAAUCAAGUUCAUGUAGUCCUAUUUGACUUACUCACACACACAUAAUUCAUACAUACAUGAUCUAUAUUUGAUCUAUGUAUCUGUACAUUGUGCCUGCUGCGUCGACGUUUCGACCUAAUUUGGUCUUCUUCAGGACUGGGCACAUGUAACAGCUCAGGCUGCUGGGCCCCAAUUCAUAGGGGUGAACCAGCCAGCAGCCGAACAAAAAUGAAAAUGAAAAGCCCUACCCACUUUUCUCCCUUUUAUAUUCCCUCAGCUAAAAAUUAGAAUGAAUUUACUUAUAUUUAAGUUAUUUUCUGCUCUAUUUAGUUUUUGCAAUCUUAACCCUUUAUGCACCUGUUUGUGCUUUAAAUCCGUAUUAAUUAUGUUUAUUCACAUAUUUGUGCUUUAAUAAACAUAUUAAUAGGUAUAUGGUCCUGCUUGACCUUUGACCUCUGUGGCCUGCUUGGCCGUCGGUCAUUAAGUUGCCUCUAAUGGUUAGGGUUAGGGCGAGUCCCAGGUUAGGGUUAGAAUCCCAUACUAGGGUUAGGGUUAGGGUUAGAUUCCCAGGUUAGGGUUAGUGCUGGGGUUAGGGUUAGGGGUCAGCGCUAGGGUUAGGGUUAGGGUCAGCGCGAUGGUUAGGGUUAGGGCUAGAUGCCAGGCUGGGGUUAUCAUCAGCAGCCGCCCGGACUGCGAGUCGGCUGAUUUUUUGCAGGUCGGGACCCAGGAAACGCGGCGACAGUGGACGUGGCACUGGCUGGAUAGGUUAGGGAAAGAAUCCCGUCUCCCCUAAAUUGCCCUACUUGGGUCGGCGGGGAGCGGGGAAUGCACGGGCCUACGCCCCGUCGGACACGCUCCCCGGGUCCCGAAAGGCUGGCGGCUACUUCCGCCAGCUGAGCCAUAUUUGGCAUGAUGUGUGUUAUACUAUAAUCAAGUUCAUGUAGUCCUAUUUGACUUACUCACACACACAUAAUUCAUACAUACAUGAUCUAUAUUUGAUCUAUGUAUCUGUACAUUGUGCCUGCUGCGUCGACGUUUCGACCUAAUUUGGUCUUCUUCAGGACUGGGCACAUGUAACAGCUCAGGCUGCUGGGCCCCAAUUCAUAGGGGUGAACCAGCCAGCAGCCGAACAAAAAUGAAAAUGAAAAGCCCUACCCACUUUUCUCCCUUUUAUAUUCCCUCAGCUAAAAAUUAGAAUGAAUUUACUUAUAUUUAAGUUAUUUUCUGCUCUAUUUAGUUUUUGCAAUCUUAACCCUUUAUGCACCUGUUUGUGCUUUAAAUCCGUAUUAAUUAUGUUUAUUCACAUAUUUGUGCUUUAAUAAACAUAUUAAUAGGUAUAUGGUCCUGCUUGACCUUUGACCUCUGUGGCCUGCUUGGCCGUCGGUCAUUAAGUUGCCUCUAAUGGUUAGGGUUAGGGCGAGUCCCAGGUUAGGGUUAGAAUCCCAUACUAGGGUUAGGGUUAGGGUUAGAUUCCCAGGUUAGGGUUAGUGCUGGGGUUAGGGUUAGGGGUCAGCGCUAGGGUUAGGGUUAGGGUCAGCGCGAUGGUUAGGGUUAGGGCUAGAUGCCAGGCUGGGGUUAUCAUCAGCAGCCGCCCGGACUGCGAGUCGGCUGAUUUUUUGCAGGUCGGGACCCAGGAAACGCGGCGACAGUGGACGUGGCACUGGCUGGAUAGGUUAGGGAAAGAAUCCCGUCUCCCCUAAAUUGCCCUACUUGGGUCGGCGGGGAGCGGGGAAUGCACGGGCCUACGCCCCGUCGGACACGCUCCCCGGGUCCCGAAAGGCUGGCGGCUACUUCCGCCAGCUGAGCCAUAUUUGGCAUGAUGUGUGUUAUACUAUAAUCAAGUUCAUGUAGUCCUAUUUGACUUACUCACACACACAUAAUUCAUACAUACAUGAUCUAUAUUUGAUCUAUGUAUCUGUACAUUGUGCCUGCUGCGUCGACGUUUCGACCUAAUUUGGUCUUCUUCAGGACUGGGCACAUGUAACAGCUCAGGCUGCUGGGCCCCAAUUCAUAGGGGUGAACCAGCCAGCAGCCGAACAAAAAUGAAAAUGAAAAGCCCUACCCACUUUUCUCCCUUUUAUAUUCCCUCAGCUAAAAAUUAGAAUGAAUUUACUUAUAUUUAAGUUAUUUUCUGCUCUAUUUAGUUUUUGCAAUCUUAACCCUUUAUGCACCUGUUUGUGCUUUAAAUCCGUAUUAAUUAUGUUUAUUCACAUAUUUGUGCUUUAAUAAACAUAUUAAUAGGUAUAUGGUCCUGCUUGACCUUUGACCUCUGUGGCCUGCUUGGCCGUCGGUCAUUAAGUUGCCUCUAAUGGUUAGGGUUAGGGCGAGUCCCAGGUUAGGGUUAGAAUCCCAUACUAGGGUUAGGGUUAGGGUUAGAUUCCCAGGUUAGGGUUAGUGCUGGGGUUAGGGUUAGGGGUCAGCGCUAGGGUUAGGGUUAGGGUCAGCGCGAUGGUUAGGGUUAGGGCUAGAUGCCAGGCUGGGGUUAUCAUCAGCAGCCGCCCGGACUGCGAGUCGGCUGAUUUUUUGCAGGUCGGGACCCAGGAAACGCGGCGACAGUGGACGUGGCACUGGCUGGAUAGGUUAGGGAAAGAAUCCCGUCUCCCCUAAAUUGCCCUACUUGGGUCGGCGGGGAGCGGGGAAUGCACGGGCCUACGCCCCGUCGGACACGCUCCCCGGGUCCCGAAAGGCUGGCGGCUACUUCCGCCAGCUGAGCCAUAUUUGGCAUGAUGUGUGUUAUACUAUAAUCAAGUUCAUGUAGUCCUAUUUGACUUACUCACACACACAUAAUUCAUACAUACAUGAUCUAUAUUUGAUCUAUGUAUCUGUACAUUGUGCCUGCUGCGUCGACGUUUCGACCUAAUUUGGUCUUCUUCAGGACUGGGCACAUGUAACAGCUCAGGCUGCUGGGCCCCAAUUCAUAGGGGUGAACCAGCCAGCAGCCGAACAAAAAUGAAAAUGAAAAGCCCUACCCACUUUUCUCCCUUUUAUAUUCCCUCAGCUAAAAAUUAGAAUGAAUUUACUUAUAUUUAAGUUAUUUUCUGCUCUAUUUAGUUUUUGCAAUCUUAACCCUUUAUGCACCUGUUUGUGCUUUAAAUCCGUAUUAAUUAUGUUUAUUCACAUAUUUGUGCUUUAAUAAACAUAUUAAUAGGUAUAUGGUCCUGCUUGACCUUUGACCUCUGUGGCCUGCUUGGCCGUCGGUCAUUAAGUUGCCUCUAAUGGUUAGGGUUAGGGCGAGUCCCAGGUUAGGGUUAGAAUCCCAUACUAGGGUUAGGGUUAGGGUUCGAUUCCCAGGUUAGGGUUAGUGCUGGGGUUAGGGUUAGGGUUAGGGUUAGGGUUAGGGUUAGGGUUAGGGGUUAGGGUUAGGGUUAGGGUUAGGGUUAGGGUUAGGGUUAGGGGGUUAGGGUUAGGGUUAGGGUUAGGGUUAGGGUUAGGGUUAGGGUUAGGGUUAGGGUUAGGGUUAGGGGGUUAGGUUAGGGAAAGAAUCCCGUCUCCCCUAAAUUGCCCUACUUGGGUCGGCGGGGAGCGGGGAAUGCACGGGCCUACGCCCCGUCGGACACGCUCCCCGGGUCCCGAAAGGCUGGCGGCUACUUCCGCCAGCUGAGCCAUAUUUGGCAUGAUGUGUGUUAUACUAUAAUCAAGUUCAUGUAGUCCUAUUUGACUUACUCACACACACAUAAUUCAUACAUACAUGAUCUAUAUUUGAUCUAUGUAUCUGUACAUUGUGCCUGCUGCGUCGACGUUUCGACCUAAUUUGGUCUUCUUCAGGACUGGGCACAUGUAACAGCUAAGGCUGCUGGGCCCCAAUUCAUAGGGGUGAACCAGCCAGCAGCCGAACAGAAAUGAAAAUGAAAAGCCCUACCCACUUUUCUCCCUUUUAUAUUCCCUCAGCUAAAAAUUAGAAUGAAUUUACUUAUAUUUAAGUUAUUUUCUGCUCUAUUUAGUUUUUACAAUCUUAACCCUUUAUGCACCUGUUUGUGCUUUAAAUCCGUAUUAAUUAUGUUUAUUCACAUAUUUGUGCUUUAAUAAACAUAUUAAUAGGUAUAUGGUCCUGCUUGACCUUUGACCUCUGUGGCCUGCUUGGCCGUCGGUCAUUAAGUUGCCUCUAAUGGUUAGGGUUAGGGCGAGUCCCAGGUUAGGGUUAGAAUCCCAUACUAGGGUUAGGGUUAGGGUUAGAUUCCCAGGUUAGGGUUAGUGCUGGGGUUAGGGUUAGGGGUCAGCGCUAGGGUUAGGGUUAGGGUCAGCGCGAUGGUUAGGGUUAGGGCUAGAUGCCAGGCUGGGGUUAUCAUCAGCAGCCGCCCGGACUGCGAGUCGGCUGAUUUUUUGCAGGUCGGGACCCAGGAAACGCGGCGACAGUGGACGUGGCACUGGCUGGAUAGGUUAGGGAAAGAAUCCCGUCUCCCCUAAAUUGCCCUACUUGGGUCGGCGGGGAGCGGGGAAUGCACGGGCCUACGCCCCGUCGGACACGCUCCCCGGGUCCCGAAAGGCUGGCGGCUACUUCCGCCAGCUGAGCCAUAUUUGGCAUGAUGUGUGUUAUACUAUAAUCAAGUUCAUGUAGUCCUAUUUGACUUACUCACACACACAUAAUUCAUACAUACAUGAUCUAUAUUUGAUCUAUGUAUCUGUACAUUGUGCCUGCUGCGUCGACGUUUCGACCUAAUUUGGUCUUCUUCAGGACUGGGCACAUGUAACAGCUCAGGCUGCUGGGCCCCAAUUCAUAGGGGUGAACCAGCCAGCAGCCGAACAGAAAUGAAAAUGAAAAGCCCUACCCACUUUUCUCCCUUUUAUAUUCCCUCAGCUAAAAAUUAGAAUGAAUUUACUUAUAUUUAAGUUAUUUUCUGCUCUAUUUAGUUUUUGCAAUCUUAACCCUUUAUGCACCUGUUUGUGCUUUAAAUCCGUAUUAAUUAUGUUUAUUCACAUAUUUGUGCUUUAAUAAACAUAUUAAUAGGUAUAUGGUCCUGCUUGACCUUUGACCUCUGUGGCCUGCUUGGCCGUCGGUCAUUAAGUUGCCUCUAAUGGUUAGGGUUAGGGCGAGUCCCAGGUUAGGGUUAGAAUCCCAUACUAGGGUUAGGGUUAGGGUUAGAUUCCCAGGUUAGGGUUAGUGCUGGGGUUAGGGUUAGGGGUCAGCGCUAGGGUUAGGGUUAGGGUCAGCGCGAUGGUUAGGGUUAGGGCUAGAUGCCAGGCUGGGGUUAUCAUCAGCAGCCGCCCGGACUGCGAGUCGGCUGAUUUUUUGCAGGUCGGGACCCAGGAAACGCGGCGACAGUGGACGUGGCACUGGCUGGAUAGGUUAGGGAAAGAAUCCCGUCUCCCCUAAAUUGCCCUACUUGGGUCGGCGGGGAGCGGGGAAUGCACGGGCCUACGCCCCGUCGGACACGCUCCCCGGGUCCCGAAAGGCUGGCGGCUACUUCCGCCAGCUGAGCCAUAUUUGGCAUGAUGUGUGUUAUACUAUAAUCAAGUUCAUGUAGUCCUAUUUGACUUACUCACACACACAUAAUUCAUACAUACAUGAUCUAUAUUUGAUCUAUGUAUCUGUACAUUGUGCCUGCUGCGUCGACGUUUCGACCUAAUUUGGUCUUCUUCAGGACUGGGCACAUGUAACAGCUCAGGCUGCUGGGCCCCAAUUCAUAGGGGUGAACCAGCCAGCAGCCGAACAAAAAUGAAAAUGAAAAGCCCUACCCACUUUUCUCCCUUUUAUAUUCCCUCAGCUAAAAAUUAGAAUGAAUUUACUUAUAUUUAAGUUAUUUUCUGCUCUAUUUAGUUUUUACAAUCUUAACCCUUUAUGCACCUGUUUGUGCUUUAAAUCCGUAUUAAUUAUGUUUAUUCACAUAUUUGUGCUUUAAUAAACAUAUUAAUAGGUAUAUGGUCCUGCUUGACCUUUGACCUCUGUGGCCUGCUUGGCCGUCGGUCAUUAAGUUGCCUCUAAUGGUUAGGGUUAGGGCGAGUCCCAGGUUAGGGUUAGAAUCCCAUACUAGGGUUAGGGUUAGGGUUAGAUUCCCAGGUUAGGGUUAGUGCUGGGGUUAGGGUUAGGGGUCAGCGCUAGGGUUAGGGUUAGGGUCAGCGCGAUGGUUAGGGUUAGGGCUAGAUGCCAGGCUGGGGUUAUCAUCAGCAGCCGCCCGGACUGCGAGUCGGCUGAUUUUU
rnacentral:lncRNA from 1 species